AUCCUUUUAGUAUAAUAAAGUAUAUUUAACUUCCAAUUAAAUGGCUCAAUAAAUUGAAAAGGAUA
rnacentral:tRNA from 1 species